AAUUAAAACCAUACCAAAGUGGCAUCGUCUGGUGAAACACCUGUAAAAACGUGCGUCGCUAAACAAUUCUGCUAUUGCUGUGCAUGGAACUUCACCGGCCACUCAAGGUCCUCAAGGGCAGAAAACAAAUACUAAAGUCAACGCGAUCGACAGUCAACGCUCUCACACUCUCACAACCCCAGUGCUUCUGCUGGACUCCCUGCUCACUGGCUAUGCCAAAGGCUAGGCGCGGGACCCCAGGACUUUGUUGUACACAACCUGGACGGCGCACUCACAAACCCAAAGGCGGAUGCAGAAUGUUUCUAAAGCUGGCAACACUUGUGAAGGAGAUCAGCUAGAAAUAUCACACAUGAAAUGCUACAUGAAGAAUCAACAAACUCUGUUUGGGAGAGAAGGCUGGACAGCUUCAAAUGCCAUGUGUUAAUGAGCUGAAGUCAAAAUACCUCAGGACAAGACAAGAGGAGGAUGUUAUCCACAAGCUUAUUCUAGAUUGAUAAUUUUAUUGCAAUCCAGGACCGGGUAAACACUUGUGUUCUUAUGCAGUGAUCAAAUCAAAACUUAACUUGGUUCCUUCAGGGGUUUUAGCCAAAAAUAGUUAGAAAAAAUUUCGUUUUUCAAAAUCAGGGAAAACUUGGGGAAUAAAAAAAUGGAGAAAAUGAGAAGGCUUCUUUUUGUAUAGCUUGAACUAAAACAACUAGACCAAACUACUGACCUAACUCCAUUCAAAUUGCAACCCAUAGUAUAACACGUUUUCAACAACUGACCACCACACUAACUUAGAACAGACACUUGUUAACUUGUACCAACACCAUACAGUAGUCACCACAGUAUUUCUGGACCUCAACAGAACUCACAUGAUCCAUGUGAUGUGAACUCUUUCAGCAGCCUCAACAAAAGCAUGACCAAAAAUAAACCAAUUGAAUCAGGCCAUAACUGAUCAGUCACUGAUUACUACCUAAGUUACAUAUUAAUGGCUUGACACAGCCAACAACAUUACAGCAAAUUGAUAUAACAUUGUAAUGACAUUUCCUGAUCAACUGACUACCAAUGUUUCACUUGACCAAGAUGACUUUUACUCAGGUUUUCAAAGCAUCAGUCCUUUGGCACUAGACAAACUACUGAAUGAUACUUUUUUUCGUUGUAGUUGGCAACUGGAUAGUUGUUCCUAUUGGCACCUCAAAAUGGGACAGUCAUUUUCUCAAUUCCUCUCCCCCCACCCUCCCUCCAAAUCUCCAGCCUUUUCGUGAUUCAUUAUUAUUUCCCAGUGUUCCCCAGGUUAAGGGUUAGUUUUGAGUUGAUCAUUGCAUACCUUAAUGUAAACCAAGUUCUGCUUUUUAUUUUGAAGUAUCACAGACAUGCUUGCUUGGAAAUUAUAAAUUAAACUGCUUUGGCUCAGUAAGUAAAUUUAUAUAGUUUUUAAAGUGGAUAACAUUUCUUUUGGUUUUAUUCUGUGUUUUUACUGUAUUUCCUCCUUG